rnacentral:rRNA from 1 species
UACGUAGGGUGCGAGCGUUGUCCGGAAUUAUUGGGCGUAAAGGACUCGUAGGCGGUCUGUCACGUCGGGAGUGAAAACACGGGGCUUAACCCCGUGCCUGCUUCCGAUACGGGCAGACUAGAGGUAUGCAGGGGAGAACGGAAUUCCUGGUGUAGCGGUGAAAUGCGCAGAUAUCAGGAGGAACACCGGUGGCGAAGGCGGUUCUCUGGGCAUUACCUGACGCUGAGGAGCGAAAGUGUGGGGAGCGAACAGG